AACGAACGCUGGCGGCAUGCCUAACACAUGCAAGUCGAACGAGACCUUCGGGUCUAGUGGCGCACGGGUGCGUAACGCGUGGGAACCUGCCUUUAGGUUCGGAAUAACUCAGAGAAAUUUGAGCUAAUACCGGAUAAUGUCUUCGGACCAAAGAUUUAUCGCCUUUAGAUGGGCCCGCGUUGGAUUAGCUAGUUGGUGGGGUAAAGGCCUACCAAGGCGACGAUCCAUAGCUGGUCUGAGAGGAUGAUCAGCCACACUGGGACUGAGACACGGCCCAGACUCCUACGGGAGGCAGCAGUGGGGAAUAUUGGACAAUGGGCGAAAGCCUGAUCCAGCAAUGCCGCGUGAGUGAUGAAGGCCUUAGGGUUGUAAAGCUCUUUUACCCGAGAUGAUAAUGACAGUAUCGGGAGAAUAAGCUCCCGGGCUAACUCCGUGCCAGCAGCCGCGG
rnacentral:rRNA from 1 species